AAAAAAAUAGAAGGAUGUCCAUCAAUACAUACUCCUUAUGAAAAAGAAAAAAAAAUAAAAAGAGAAAGGAGAAGAGAAAACAGUUGCUAUAGAGUUGUUGAAGUGAAUGAAAUCUUUUGUAAAUUCAACUUCCGCAGUUUCUUUCAAGUCUCUUUUGUCUCUUUGAAUUUUAGCCUAGUACCCCCUUAGGAUUUAUCUCACCCUUAGCUUGACC
rnacentral:lncRNA from 1 species